ensembl:rRNA 5S_rRNA 5S ribosomal RNA
GCUUAUGGCCAUACCACUCUGAGCACGCCCAAACUUGUCUGGUGUCAGAAGCUAAACAGGGUCGACCUGGUUAGUACUUUUAUGCGAGGUCAUCGGGGGUACCGGAUGCUGUAAGCA